rnacentral:rRNA from 1 species
GACGAACGCUGGCGGCGUGCUUAACACAUGCAAGUCGAACGGUAAGGCCCUUUCGGGGGUACACGAGUGGCGAACGGGUGAGUAACACGUGGGUGAUCUGCCCUGCACUUUGGGAUAAGCCUGGGAAACUGGGUCUAAUACCGGAUAGGACUACGCGAUGCAUGUCGUGUGGUGGAAAGCUUUUGCGGUGUGGGAUGGGCCCGCGGCCUAUCAGCUUGUUGGUGGGGUGAUGGCCUACCAAGGCGACGACGGGUAGCCGGCCCGAGAGGGUGUCCGGCCACACUGGGACUGAGAUACGGCCCAGACUCCUACGGGAGGCAGCAGUGGGGAAUAUUGCACAAUGGGCGCAAGCCUGAUGCAGCGACGCCGCGUGGGGGAUGACGGCCUUCGGGUUGUAAACCCCUUUCAGCACAGACGAAGCGUAAGUGACGGUAUGUGCAGAAGAAGCACCGGCCAACUACGUG